CCUACGGGAGGCAGCAGUGGGGGAUAGUGCACAAUGGGCGCAAGCCUGAUGCAGCGACGCCGCGUGAGAGAAGAAGGAGUGCGGUAGGUAAAGCUCUAUCAGCAGGGAAGAAAAUGACGGUACCUGACGAAGAAGCUCCGGCUAAAUACGUGCCAGCAGCCGCGGUAAUACGUAUGGAGCAAGCGUUAUCCGGAUUUACUGGGUGUAAAGGGAGCGUAGGCGGCACGGUAAGUCUGAUGUGAAAAUUUGGGGCUCCACCCCAAACGUGCAUUGGAAACUGCAGGGCUUGAGUGCCGGAGAGGCAGGCGGACUUCCUCGUGUAGCGGUGCAAUGCGUAGCUAUUAGGAGGAACCCCAGUGGCGACGGCGGCCUGCUGGACGGUAACUGUCGCUGAGGCUCGAAAGCGUGGGUAGCAAACCGGAUUAGCUACCCCUGUAGUC
rnacentral:rRNA from 1 species